rnacentral:rRNA from 1 species
UGCGUAGGCGGAAUGAUCAGUCAGUGGUGAAAUCCCCCGGCUUAACCGGGGAACUGCCAUUGAUACUAUCAUUCUUGAGUACACUUGAAGUGGGCGGAAUGUAUCAUGUAGCGGUGAAAUGCAUAGAUAUGAUACAGAACACCGAUAGCGAAGGCAGCUCACUAAAUUGUAACUGACGCUAAGGCACGAAAGCGUGGGGAGCAAACAGGAUUAGAUACCCUGGUAGUCC